CCGACCCCUGGUGUGGGAGUGGGGCUGCUAGAGCCACCCCAUGUGAGCUCAGGAAAGGGAGGAAUGUCACUGAGGCUGGGCGUGGCUGGGAUAACUCAGCCAGCUGUGGGUUUUUCUUGGGGCCCAGGGAGACCUGAGCAGAGAUGGAGGCCCCUCUCCCGGCCCCCAACACACACACUAGGACCUUUCUUCC
rnacentral:lncRNA from 1 species